UAGGGAAUCUUCGGCAAUGGGGGCAACCCUGACCGAGCAACGCCGCGUGAGUGAAGAAGGUUUUCGGAUCGUAAAGCUCUGUUGUAAGUCAAGAACGAGUGUGAGAGUGGAAAGUUCACACUGUGACGGUAGCUUACCAGAAAGGGACGGCUAACUACGUGCCAGCAGCCGCGGUAAUACGUAGGUCCCGAGCGUUGUCCGGAUUUAUUGGGCGUAAAGCGAGCGCAGGCGGUUUGAUAAGUCUGAAGUUAAAGGCUGUGGCUCAACCAUAGUUCGCUUUGGAAACUGUCAAACUUGAGUGCAGAAGGGGAGAGUGGAAUUCCAUGUGUAGCGGUGAAAUGCGUAGAUAUAUGGAGGAACACCGGUGGCGAAAGCGGCUCUCUGGCUUGUAACUGACGCUGAGGCUCGAAAGCGUGGGGAGCAAACAGGAUUAGAUACCCUGGUAGUCCACGCCGUAAACGAUGAGUGCUAGGUGUUAGACCCUUUCCGGGGUUUAGUGCCGCAGCUAACGCAUUAAGCACUCCGCCUGGGGAGUACGACCGCAAGGUU
rnacentral:rRNA from 1 species